GAACGCUGGCGGCAGGCCUAACACAUGCAAGUCGAACGGUAACAGGAAGAAGCUUGCUUCUUUGCUGACGAGUGGCGGACGGGUGAGUAAUGUCUGGGAAACUGCCUGAUGGAGGGGGAUAACUACUGGAAACGGUAGCUAAUACCGCAUAACGUCGCAAGACCAAAGAGGGGGACCUUCGGGCCUCUUGCCAUCGGAUGUGCCCAGAUGGGAUUAGCUAGUAGGUGGGGUAACGGCUCACCUAGGCGACGAUCCCUAGCUGGUCUGAGAGGAUGACCAGCCACACUGGAACUGAGACACGGUCCAGACUCCUACGGGAGGCAGCAGUGGGGAAUAUUGCACAAUGGGCGCAAGCCUGAUGCAGCCAUGCCGCGUGUAUGAAGAAGGCCU
rnacentral:rRNA from 1 species